AGAGUUUGAUCAUGGCUCAGAGUGAUCGCUGGCGGCGUGCUUAACACAUGCAAGUCGAGCGAAUUUCAACAGUGUAUCGUUGAAGUUAGCGGCAGACGGGUGAGUAAUACUUGGGCAAUCUGCCCUCGAGAGGGAAACAACCUGCCGAAAGGUGGGCUAAUGUCCCAUAAGACCACAGGGGUGCAUACUCCAGGGGUCAAAGCUCCGCAAGGGGCGCUUGAGGAGGAGCCCGAGUCCUAUCACGGUAGUUGGUGAGGUAACGGCUCACCAAGCCUUUGACGGGUAGCCGACCUGAAAGGGUGACCGGCCACACUGGCACUGAGACACGGGCCAGACUCCUACGGGAGGCAGCAGUGGGGAAUUUUGGACAAUGGGGGCAACCCUGAUCCAGCGACGCCGCGUGGAGGACGAAGGUCUUCGGAUUGUAAACUCCUUUUGGAGGGGAUGAAUGCCUGGGUGAAAAAUCCAGGGUGACAGUACUCUCUGAAUAAGCCACGGCUAACUACGUGCCAGCAGCCGCGGUAAUACGUAGGUGGCAAGCGAUACUCGGAAUCACUAGGCGUAAAGCGCAGGUAGGCGGUUUGGUAAGUCUCUUGUGAAAGCUCCUGGCUCAACUGGGAGAGGUCAAGGGAAACUACCAGGCUAGAGUGCGGAAGAGGAAGCUGGAAUUCCCGGUGUAGCGGUGAAAUGCGUAGAUAUCGGGAGGAACACCUAUGGCGAAAGCAGGCUUCUGGUCCGUCACUGACGCUGAGCUGCGAAAGCUAGGGGAGCAAACAGGAUUAGAUACCCUAGUAGUCC
rnacentral:rRNA from 1 species